UACGAGGGGGGCGAGCGUUGUUCGGAAUUAUUGGGCGUAAAGGGUGCGUAGGCGGUUUGACAAGUCUGAUGUAAAAUCUAUGGGCUCAACCCAUAGUCUGCAUCGGAAACUGUCGGACUUGAGUAUGGGAGAGGUGAGUGGAAUUUCCGGUGUAGCGGUGAAAUGCGUAGAUAUCGGAAGGAACACCUGUGGCGAAAGCGGCUCACUGGACCAUUACUGACGCUAAGGCACGAAAGCUAGGGGAGCAAACAGG
rnacentral:rRNA from 1 species